rnacentral:misc_RNA from 1 species
GAUGAAGAACGCAGCGAAACGCGAUAGGUAAUGUGAAUUGCAGAAUUCAGUGAAUCAUCGAAUCUUUGAACGCACAUUGCGCCCGCUGGUAUUCCGGCGGGCAUGCCUGUUCGAGCGUCAUUUCAACCCUCAAGCCCCCGGGUUUGGUGUUGGGGAUCGGCUCUGCCCUUCUGGGCGGUGCCGCCCCCGAAAUACAUUGGCGGUCUCGCUGCAGCCUCCAUUGCGUAGUAGCUAACACCUCGCAACUGGAACGCGGCGCGGCCAUGCCGUAAAACCCCAACUUCUGAAUGUUGACCUCGGAUCAGGUAGGAAUACCCGCUGAACUUAAGCAUAUCAAUAAGCGGAGGA